AGCAGCCGCGGUAAUUCCAGCUCCAAUAGCGUAUAUUAAAGUUGUUGCAGUUAAAAAGCUCGUAGUUGAAUUUCGGGAUUGGCGCAUCGGUCGUGCUUCACGGGGUAUGAACUGGUGCAGUCAAUUUCUCACCUUCUGGAGAACCGCGAUGUCCUUAAUUGGAUGCCGCGGGGAACCAGGACCUUUACUUUGAAAAAAAUUAGAGUGUUUAAAGCAGGCAUUUUUGCUUGAAUACAUUAGCAUGGAAUAAUAAAAUAGGACGGCAUGGUUCUAUUUUGUUGGUUUCUAGGACCACCGUAAUGAUUAAUAGGGAUAGUUGGGGGCAUUAGUAUUCAAUUGUCAGAGGUGAAAUUCUUGGAUUUAUUGAAGACUAACUACUGCGAAAGCAUUUGCCAAGGAUGUUUUCAUUAAUCAAGAACGAAAGUUAGGGGAUCGAAGACGAUCAGAUACCGUCGUAGUCUUAACCAUAAACUAUGCCGACUAGGAAUCAGACGAUGUUAAUUUUUUCAAUGACUCGUUU
rnacentral:rRNA from 1 species